GUUUCCUCUGGGGUAAGUGAUUGCUUCUACACUGUGAAAAUUUGGCUGAGAGACUCAGACUGGUCAUGGGUAGACCUAUCUGGGGUUUGAUCGAUGCCACUCCUGGUUUCAGGAGCACCCUUCAUAAUAAACCUAGAAAUUCAGUAUUAUAAAGUUUAAUAAAAAACAACUUUUAACAAUGGAUCUCUUGGUUCUCGCAUCGAUGAAGAACGUAGCAAAGUGCGAUAACUAGUGUGAAUUGCAUAUUCAGUGAAUCAUCGAGUCUUUGAACGCAGCUUGCACUCUAUGGUUUUUCUAUAGAGUACGCCUGCUUCAGUAUCAUCACAAACCCACACAUAACAUUUGUUUAUGUGGUAAUGGGUCGCAUCGCUGUUUUAUUACAGUGAGCACCUAAAAUGUGUGUGAUUUUCUGUCUGGCUUGCUAGGCAGGAAUAUUACGCUGGUCUCAGGAUCUUUUUCUUUGGUUCGCCCAGGAAGUAAAGUACAAGAGUAUAAUCCAGCAACUUUCAAACUAUGAUCUGAAGUCAGGUGGGAUUACCCGCUGAACUUAAGCAUAUC
rnacentral:rRNA from 1 species